CCCGCCGCGCCCGUCAGACUUACCCUCAGCUUUCCAGUCUCAGGAGCCAACACUCUUUCCUUCAGCCAGAUCAAGGUCCUUGUCACUUACAGCCAACACCACAACUGAUACAAAAGGGAAGGACACAAAACAAUUGUGGAGAAAGCCGUCUGGAUGGAGCCAGCAGCUUCGCUACCAUCGAGUGGCAUUUCCAGAGAGCAGAUGCACGCGGAGGGGUGUAGUUUGAAGGAAGACCUGGCGGGAUUUGCUAAUGAAUUGGAUAGCAGCGUAGUGAAAGAGACCCUCAGGAAUGACUUCCGGUUUUUAGGCUAAGGAAUUGCAAGAAUGGAACCAUGAACGGAGAUGUUGGUUUAGACCAGUCGCCCUCUGGACCAAGCUGCUGUGAGCAUGGAUUUAACAAAAUGUCAGCCCCACUGGGUAUGAUUUUCAAGUAUGAAUUCAAAACCUAUGGUUGAAGUCCUCACCCCUACUGUGAUGGAAUCAGGAAGAGAAGCCUUUGGGAGGUGAUUAGGUCAUGGAGGGUGGGGCUCUCAUAGAUGGGAUGAGUGCCGUUAUAUAAAGCCAGAGCAAAGAGAGCUCCCUUGUUCCUGCGUCUGUGGGAGGACGGCGCCACCCAAGAACCAGGAGGGACACACUCAGCAGACACCCAAUCUGCUGGUGCCUUAAUCCUGGACUUCCCAACCUCCGGAAUGAUGAGCAAUAAAGUUCUGUUGUUUGUAAGCCAUCCAGUCUGUGGUGUUCGGUUAUAGCAUCCUGAACAGACUAAGACAAUGUUUUGUAAGAGCCCAUUUGGGUUUCCUGGGUGGCCCACAGGAGCUAUGCAGGGGUUCUGGGGUCUGUGCCUUUGGGACUAGAUGACGCAGCUGUCAGAGCCUGUGGCUUGGCUUGGUCAGCGCCUGCCCUUCCCUCCAGUCUCCUCCAUCUUGGCUCCCACCCCUCCUGCCCCCACUGCUCCCCCAGCUCCAGAUUCUUCACCUUAUGAUGUUCCAUAAAGGAAUGCAGCUCUCCCCAGCUCAAGUCCCACAGCCUCUCACCUGAACUCCUGAAGGUGCUCAGCAGAACCCAGAGCCCUCCAUCUGGCAGGAUGAGUCCUCACUCUAGGAACCAUGGGAACCACAGACUCCACCUGAGGCAGCAGCUGCUGCGCACAGAGCAG
rnacentral:lncRNA from 10 species